rnacentral:rRNA from 1 species
UACAGAGGGUGCUAGCGUUGUUCGGAAUUAUUGGGCGUAAAGGGCGCGUAGGCGGCCCUGUGUGUCGGGUGUGAAAGCCCACCUCUUAAAGGUGGAAUUGCAUUCGAAACUACAGGGCUGGAGUGUCGGAGAGGAUGGCGGAAUUCCUGGUGUAGAGGUGAAAUUCGUAGAUAUCAGGAGGAACACCGGUGGCGAAGGCG